AAUGGACGAAAGUCUGACCGAGCAACGCCGCGUGAGUGAAGAAGGUUUUCGGAUCGUAAAGCUCUGUUGUAAGUCAAGAACGUGCGUGAGAGUGGAAAGUUCACACAGUGACGGUAGCUUACCAGAAAGGGACGGCUAACUACGUGCCAGCAGCCGCGGUAAUACGUAGGUCCCGAGCGUUGUCCGGAUUUAUUGGGCGUAAAGGGAGCGCAGGCGGUCAGGAAAGUCUGGAGUAAAAGGCUAUGGCUCAACCAUAGUGUGCUCUGGAAACUGUCUGACUUGAGUGCAGAAGGGGAGAGUGGAAUUCCAUGUGUAGCGGUGAAAUGCGUAGAUAUAUGGAGGAACACCAGUGGCGAAAGCGGCUCUCUGGUCUGUCACUGACGCUGAGGCUCGAAAGCGUGGGUAGCGAACAGGAUUAGAUACCCUGGUAGUCCACGCCGUAAACGAUGAGUGCUAGGUGUUAGGCCCUUUCCGGGGCUUAGUGACGGAGCUAACGCAAUAAGCACUCCGCCUGGGGAGUACGACCGCAAGGUUGAAACUCAAAGGAAUUGACGGGGGCCCGCACAAGCGGUGGAGCAUGUGGUUUAAUUCGAAGCAACGCGAAGAACCUUACCAGGUCUUGACAUCCCGAUGCUAUUCUUAGAGAUAGGAAGUUACUUCGGUACAUCGGAGACAGGUGGUGCAUGG
rnacentral:rRNA from 1 species